GGAUGGAUGUCUGAGCGGUUGAAAGAGUCCGUCUUGAAAACCGAAGUAUUUAUAUAAAUACCGGGGGUUGGAAUCCCUCUCCAUCCG
rnacentral:tRNA from 1 species